CAUAUCAGAGAAAGUGGCACACACCAGCAAGAUUUCACAGAUGUUGCAUGACAUUCUAAAUGUUUGAUCUUCAGUGUAUGUGUGUGAGGAGAACUGUUCUUCAGGACAUGAAAUGAGGAAUUGGGCGAGCCAGACAUCACUGACACAAACACCUCUCCUGCUGAUUUUGGACAACGAAACCCCUACAAGUCCUGCAAGCACUGCAGUUGUGAUGAGAUGAUCUUCCAGUGUUUGACAUUCAGAAAUGCACAGUUCAUGUGGUUUAAA